rnacentral:piRNA from 1 species
UGGGCUUUAGUGUGAGACCGUGUCUCAAGA